rnacentral:rRNA from 1 species
AUGAACGCUGGCGGCGUGCCUAAUACAUGCAAGUCGAGCGAACGGACGAGAAGCUUGCUUCUCUGAUGUUAGCGGCGGACGGGUGAGUAACACGUGGAUAACCUACCUAUAAGACUGGGAUAACUUCGGGAAACCGGAGCUAAUACCGGAUAAUAUUUUGAACCGCAUGGUUCAAAAGUGAAAGACGGUCUUGCUGUCACUUAUAGAUGGAUCCGCGCUGCAUUAGCUAGUUGGUAAGGUAACGGCUUACCAAGGCAACGAUGCAUAGCCGACCUGAGAGGGUGAUCGGCCACACUGGAACAGAGACACGGUCCAGACUCCUACGGGAGGCAGCAGUAGGGAAUCUUCCGCAAUGGGCGAAAGCCUGACGGAGCAACGCCGCGUGAGUGAUGAAGGUCUUCGGAUCGUAAAACUCUGUUAUUAGGGAAGAACAUAUGUGUAAGUAACUGUGCACAUCUUGACGGUACCUAAUCAGAAAGCCACGGCUAACUACGUG